rnacentral:rRNA from 1 species
GAUGAACGCUGGCGGCGUGCCUAAUACAUGCAAGUCGAGCGAACAGACGAGGAGCUUGCUCCUCUGACGUUAGCGGCGGACGGGUGAGUAACACGUGGAUAACCUACCUAUAAGACUGGGAUAACUUCGGGAAACCGGAUCUAAUACCGGAUAAUAUAUUGAACCGCAUGGUUCAAUAGUGAAAGACGGUUUUGCUGUCACUUAUAGAUGGAUCCGCGCCGCAUUAGCUAGUUGGUAAGGUAACGGCUUACCAAGGCAACGAUGCGUAGCCGACCUGAGAGGGUGAUCGGCCACACUGGAACUGAGACACGGUCCAGACUCCUACGGGAGGCAGCAGUAGGGAAUCUUCCGCAAUGGGCGAAAGCUUGACGGAGCAACGCCGCGUGAGUGAUGAAGGUCUCCGGAUCGUAAAACUCUGUUAUUAGGGAAGAACAAAUGUGUAAGUAACUAUGCACGUCUUGACGGUGCCUAAUCAGAAAGCCACGGCUAACUACGUG